rnacentral:lncRNA from 1 species
GCUUUUAGUAGUCAUGAAUUGUUUUGAAUGUAUAUCUUACCUGUCUCAGCUAUCCAGAACUUGCAACAGGAGUAAAAGCAUAUCUGCCUUAAUUUUUUUAACCCUUUAAUUUUUUCAUCUUUAUCUAGAGGAAAGGUGGGCUCUAAAGUACUCCUUUUCUUUGAUUUGAGUUGGUGUAAUAGAUGUGGGAGUGUCAAGGCUAGUACCAUAUUUCUUCCGUCUGGUAAUCUUCCAAGAGGAGUGAAAGCAUAUCUGCUUUUUUUUAAAAAAAGAAAAAACUCUUCCUGCAGACUCUCCUCUUUGUCUCAGAGUAGGUGGACUUUAAAAUAGCUGUCUAGUUUGUUUCUAGAUAAUGUAAUAAUUUGCAGUGUACAAUUUAAUAUUAUUUAUUCUCAACCUAAGUUCACACAUAGAACUUCAGCCCUAAUUGAAUUAGGAGGUCAGCCUUUAAUGAUUAUCCAUAAGUGUUCUUUUCUUGCUUAUAAUCCCUAAGC